UCCAGAUAGGAUAAGAAAACAUUAUUAAAUCUUAAACUCUUAUCUGCUUCCAUAGUGACAUUAUAUGACUUGUUUCAGAACCAAGUGAACGUGAAUUAAUGUCUCUUUUCCAUUUUGCUGAUGAUGAUAACAAGUGCUACUUGGAGAUCAACUACACUUUUGAUAUCAGGAAGGAUUGGCAAUAGUUUAAUCCUUCAUAGUUAUUGUUAUUUAUGCUGAAAUAUCCUUCAGUUUUUACUUGCUUCUUUUCCAUUGUUUUAUUUAUUUUGAGUCCUGUUUGAGACUAGUGAUUUUAACAAUGAUGAGAGAAUUUGGAGGGUGAAAUUGGUAUUCAUUUCAUUAAUAUAUUUUUGUCAUUAAAAAUUGAGUUUCACAGUUUGGAUGCAAAACCAUGGUCAUCUAC